rnacentral:rRNA from 1 species
UUAAAGGGCGCGGUAAUUUGACCGUGCGAAGGUAGCAUAAUCAUUAGUUUUUUAAUUGGAAGCUUGUAUGAAAGGUCGGAUGAGGGGUAAGCUGUCUCUUUGUAAACUUUGAAAUUUAACUUUUAAGUGAAAAGGCUUAAAUUUUAUAAGGUGACGAUAAGACCCUAUAAAACUUUAUAUGGUUGUUUUCAUUUUAAGAAUUUGUAAUUUAAUUGUAAAGGUUUAUAUUUUGUUGGGGAGACAUAGAUAUAAUAAAUAAUAACUGUCUAUAUUAAUAAAAUAAGUAUAAGAAGCUCGUGAUCCUUUAUUGGAGAUUAUAAGAUUAAGUUACUUUAGGGAUAACAGCGUGAUUUUCUUUGAGAGUUCUUAUCGACGGGAAUAGUUGCGACCUCGAUGUUGAAUUAAAAUUUCCUUGGGGUGUAGCAGCUCUUAAGGUGGGUCUGUUCGACCUUUAAUAUUUU